UACAGAGGCCUCGAGCGUUAGGCGGAAUCACUGGGCUUAAAGCGUGUGUAGGCGGACUUCUAAGUACCUUGUGAAAUCCCAUGGCUCAACCAUGGAACUGCUGGGCAUACUGGCGAUCUUGUGCCACCUAGGGGCGAGCGGAACAGAUGGUGGAGCGGUGAAAUGCGUAGAUAUCAUCUGGAACGCCAAUGGUGAAAACAGCUCGCUGGGGGUGUGCAGACGCUGAGACACGAAAGCCAGGGGAGCGAACGGG
rnacentral:rRNA from 1 species